rnacentral:lncRNA from 1 species
CAGCAUAGGAAGCAGCAAUCAUCCGCACCUGUUGCCAAUUAAAGCAUUAAUGGCCCAUCAAUCAAGGAGAAAUCACUGGGAAUGGAGAUGACACAGGCUCUGUGCUCCUGUCAGUUUUUUGGAAGACAUCCUCUGCUUCAAGAAGUGAGAUCUGCAAGUCACACCCUCCAAACUGCACUUUCUACUUCUUGGAAAUGAUUUCAGCAGCUCAGUCUGCAAGGCCACAUGUCUCUCCCUGUGGGGAAAUGAUUGUCGUAGAAUUCAGAAGCUCUCUUUGACUGAAUAUGGUCAGUGCAUAUUCCUGUUAGAAGAAGCAAAGCAAAGCCUUGCAUGUGGUAGGUGUCCAAUUCAUCUGUGCUGGUUAAUGAAAUAAAGAAGGUUCGGUACCUGCCCAUCACUUUUCCAAUUGGAAUAUAAAG